CCUACGGGAGGCAGCAGUGAGGAAUAGUGGGCAAGGGACGCAAGUCUGAACCAGCCAUGCCGCGUGCAGGAAGACGGCGCGAUGAGGUGUAAACUGCGGUUGUACGAGGGUAAAUCCCGAUACGUGUAUCGGGUUGAAAGUAUCGUACGAAUAAGGAUAGGCUAACUCCGUGCCAGCAGCCGCGGUAAUACGGAGGAUUCAAGCGUUCUCCGGAUUGAUUGGGUUUAAAGGGCGCGUAGGCGGUUCGAUAAGUUAGAGGUGCAAUCCCGGGGCUCAAAGCCGGCACUGCCUCUGAUACUGUCGGGCUAGAGUUUAGUUGCGGUAGGCGGAAUGUCUGGUGUCGCUGUGAACUGCCUAGAGUUCAUACAGAACACCGAUUGCGAAGGCAGCUUACCAAACUACGACUGCCGUUGAGGCACGAAAGCGUGGGGAGCACCCAGGAUUAGCUCCCCGAGUAGUC
rnacentral:rRNA from 1 species